rnacentral:rRNA from 1 species
AGCAGCCGCGGUAAUUCCAGCUCCAAUAGCGUAUAUUAAAGUUGUUGCAGUUAAAAAGCUCGUAGUUGAAUUUCGGAAUCUGUCCGUCGGUCGGGCUUCACUGUCCGUACUGGUGUGAUGGGUUUCUACCUUCUGAAUAACCGGCAUGUCAUUAAUUUGGUGCGCCGGGGAAGCAGAACUAUUACCUUGAAAAAUUAGAGUGCUUAAAGCAGGCUAUCGCCUGAAUAGAUUAGCAUGGAAUAAUAAAAUAGGACGCAUGGUUCUAUUUUGUUGGUUUCUAGGAUCACCGUAAUGAUUAAUAGGGAUAGUUGGGGGCAUUAGUAUUCAAUUGUCAGAGGUGAAAUUCUUGGAUUUAUUGAAGACUAACUUCUGCGAAAGCAUUUGCCAAGGAUGUUUUCAUUAAUCAAGAACGAAAGUUAGGGGAUCGAAGACGAUCAGAUACCGUCGUAGUCUUAACC